AAACAUUGUUUAUAAAAGUUAUUAUAAAUACMACCUGCUCAAUGAAAGAAUUURAAUAGCUGCAAUUUUUGURCUAAGGUAGCAUAAUCAUUUGUUUUUUAAUUUUAAACUAGAAUGAAAGGUAAAACAAAUCAUUUCUUUAUUUUUUAUUUUAUUUUAACUUAUAUUAAAUAUAAAAAUAUAUUUUUAAAAAAAAAAGACGACAAGACCCUAUUGAACUUCACUUUAGUUUAGCUGGGGAAGCUAAAUAAUAAAUAUUUUAUUAUAAAUUUUAUAAAUGACCCAAAAUAUUUGAUUAACUAAUCAAGUUACCAUAGGGAUAACAGCGCAAUAAAUUUUUUAAGUUCUUAUACAAAAAUUUGCUUACGACCUCGAUGUUGAAUUAGAAAUCUAUAUUAAGCAAAAAUAAUAAAAGUAGGUCUGUUCGACCUUUAAAAUUCUACAUGAUCUGA
rnacentral:rRNA from 1 species